rnacentral:tRNA from 1 species
GGGUGUAGCUCAACUGGUAGAGCGUCGGUCUCCAAAACCGAAGGUCGCGGGUUCGAUCCCUGCCGCC